AUUGAACGCUGGCGGCAGGCUUAACACAUGCAAGUCGAGCGAGAGGCGGAGGGGUGAGUAAUGUCGGGGAAACUGGCUGAUGGAGGGGGAUAACGAGGGGAAACGGUAGCUAAUACCGCAUACGAUCAGAUGUGGCGAGAUGGGAUUAGCUAGUAGGUGGGGUAAUGGCUCACCUAGGGGACGAUCCCUAGCUGGUCUGAGAGGAUGACCAGCCACACUGGAACUGAGACACGGUCCAGACUCCUACGGGAGGCAGCAGUGGGGAAUAUUGCACAAUGGGCGCAAGCCUGAUGCAGCCAUGCCGCGUGUAUGAAGAAGGCCUUCGGGUUGUAAAGUACUUUCAGCGGGGAGGCGUUACCCGCCGAAUAAGCACCGGCUAACUCCGUGCCAGCAGCCGCGGUAAUUC
rnacentral:rRNA from 1 species